GAUGAACGCUGGCGGCGUGCCUAAUACAUGCAAGUCGAACGCACAGCCGAAGGUCUUUGCCCCUUGCAAGUGAGUGGCGAAGGGGUGAGUAACACGUGGACAACCUCCUUCAAGGCUGGGGAUAACAUGUGAAAACAGAUGUUAAUACCGAAUAAAACUUAGUGUCGCAUGUCCCAUAGUUAAAAGGCGCUUUGGCGUCACUUAUAGAUGGAUCCGCGGUGCAUUAGUUAGUUGGUGGGGUAAAGGCCUACCAAGACAAUGAUGCAUAGCCGAGUUGAGAGGCUGAUCGGCCACAUUGGAACUGAGACACGGCCCAAACUCCUACGGGAGGCAGCAGUAGGGAAUCUUCCGCAAUGGGCGAAAGCCUGAUGGAGCAACGCCGCGUGUGUGAUGAAGGCCUUCGGAUCGUAAAGCACUGUUGUAAGGGAAGAACAGAUGUGAUAGGAAAUGAGUUUAGUUUGACGGUACCAAAUCAGAAAGGCACGGCUAAAUACGUG
rnacentral:rRNA from 1 species